rnacentral:snRNA from 1 species
AUCGCUUCUCAGCUUUUUGCCUAAGAUCAGGUUUAGUAU